AUUGAACGCUGGCGGCAUGCUCUACACAUGCAAGUCGAACGGUAACAGGCCUUCGGGUGCUGACGAGUGGCGAACGGGUGAGUAAUGCAUCGGAACGUACCCAGAGGUGGGGGAUAACGCAGCGAAAGCUGUGCUAAUACCGCAUGUGAUCUGAGGAUGAAAGCGGGGGACCGAGCAGCAAUGUUUGGCCUCGCGCCUUUGGAGCGGCCGAUGUCGGAUUAGCUAGUUGGUGGGGUAAAGGCCUACCAAGGCGACGAUCCGUAGCUGGUCUGAGAGGACGACCAGCCACACUGGGACUGAGACACGGCCCAGACUCCUACGGGAGGCAGCAGUGGGGAAUUUUGGACAAUGGGCGCAAGCCUGAUCCAGCAAUGCCGCGUGCGGGAAGAAGGCCUUCGGGUUGUAAACCGCUUUUGGCAGGAACGAAACGGUGUCCGCUAAUACCGGGCGCUAAUGACGGUACCUGCAGAAUAAGCACCGGCUAACUACGUG
rnacentral:rRNA from 1 species